UACGUAGGGUGCAAGCGUUGUCCGGAAUCACUGGGCGUAAAGGGCGUCUAGGCGGCCAAGUAAGUGAGAUGUGAAAUCCCCCGGCUUACCCGGGGACCUGCAUCUCAUACUGCUUGGCUUGAGUAUGGGAGAGGAUAAGGGAAUUCCUGGUGUAGCGGUGAAAUGCGUAGAUAUUAGGAAGAACACCAGUGGCGAAGGCGGCUCACUGGCCCGGUAACUGACGCUGAAAUACGAAAGCGUGGGGAGCAAACAGG
rnacentral:rRNA from 1 species